CCUGUAUUGUGUGGAGAAAUCCACAAUGUUUGCAGUACCGAAGGCAGAACCACUACGAAGUCAGUGGUUGACAUUCCUUUUUAACACUGUUCCAGCUGAUUUACCAGCCGGUACUGUUGUGUGUGCGGCAUUUCACGGACCAAAGCUUAAAAAACUUAACAAUGUUUAGCUUCGGACUUGCAAAGCUGAUAUUGGAGGACGAUGCUGUUCCUACUUUGUUUGGACCAGCGGGAGAUUCGGGUACACAACCUAGUACAUCACAGCAGGAACACAAUACCAACUGCUCCAGUACAGUCGGAUGUCAAACAGACUGUUUGUGUGGGAACUCAGAGGGUUGAGACACGGUCUGUGGGAACACAGACAGUGGAAUGUAAAGUGUCCGCCAUUUCUGUUGCUACACAGUUGGCCCGGGGAACACUGAAAUCGGCACACGUGAGAAGCAAAGAAAUCCCCUUGUCCUCUACACCAAUAAAGGGCCCAGGAUUGGGACCUAGCAAGAGACCUCGACUAGAGUUGGAGCAGGAACAAGGAGAGACUUCGAUUGAAUUUGAAGAGACUCUGGAUUCGAGUUACCACCCUGAUGAUACUGUAGAAG